AGAGUUUGAUCCUGGCUCAGGAUAAACGCUGGCGGCGUGCCUUAUGCAUGCAAGUCGUACGGUUCCGAUUUAUCGGGAUAGUGGCGAACGGGUGAGUAACACGUAAGUAACCUGCCCUUAAGUAGGGGAUAACCCUGAGAAAUCAGGGCUAAUACCGUAUGUUGUGGUGAAGGUAAGGCUUCAUUACUAAAGCCUUAGGGCGCUUAGGGAGGGGCUUGCGGCCGAUUAGCUAGUUGGUUAGGGUAAUGGCUUACCAAGGCGAUGAUCGGUAGCUGGUCUGAGAGGAUGGUCAGCCACACUGGGAUUGAGAUACGGCCCAGACUCCCAUGGGAGGCAGCAGCAAGGAAUUUUGUGCAAUGGGCGAAAGCCUGACACAGCGACGCCGCGUGGGGGAUGAAGGCCUUCGGGUUGUAAACCCCUUUUCUCAGGGAAGAAUAAUGACGGUACCUGAGGAAUAAGUCACGGCUAACUACGUGCCAGCAGCCGCGGUAAUACGUAAGUGGCGAGCGUUAUCCGGAUUUAUUGGGCGUAAAGAGGGCGCAGGCGGCUUUUCAAGUCGGGUGUAAAAUCUCCCAGCUUAACUGGGAGGGAUCAUUCGAUACUGUUAGGCUAGAGGGCAGCAAGGGGAGGUGGAAUUCCCGGUGUAGUGGUGAAAUGCGUAGAUAUCGGGAGGAACACCA
rnacentral:rRNA from 1 species